GGAAUCUUAGACAAUGGGCGCAAGCCUGAUCUAGCCAUGCCGCGUGAGCGAUGAAGGCCUUAGGGUUGUAAAGCUCUUUCACCGGGGAAGAUAAUGACGGUACCCGGAGAAGAAGCCCCGGCUAACUCCGUGCCAGCAGCCGGGGUAAUACGGAGGGGGCUAGCGUUGUUCGGAAUUACUGGGCGUAAAGGGCGUGUAGGCGGCUUGCCAAGUCAGGCGUGAAAGCCCCGGGCUUAACCUGGGAACUGCGUUUGAGACUGGCAGGCUAGAGGUUGGAAGAGGAGAGUGGAAUUCCCAGUGUAGAGGUGAAAUUCGUAGAUAUUGGGAAGAACACCGGUGGCGAAGGCGGCUCUCUGGUCCACACCUGACGCUGAGGCGCGAAAGCGUGGGGAGCAAAC
rnacentral:rRNA from 1 species